rnacentral:lncRNA from 1 species
UGGUCGUGUCCGGAGUUCCCGAGUAUUUCUUUUAAGAAUAAUAACACCAGGCUACUCGGUUUGGCGCGUUUUCGCGCGAACAUUAGCGGCGAUCGUGAUGCGCCUUGCAUUCGGACACGGAAUGCGCUCGGGUUGUCAACUCGCCUGUGCUGCCCCGUGGCUCCCUGAAAUCCGUGGCGACGGCCACUAGUGUUCACUUGGAUUGCAGUGUUGGAUUGUGCGAAAGACCUGCAGUGGAAGCAUCGCCUUCGUGGGUUUUUUUUUUGUAAGAAGCAUCGCCUUCGUGCUUUUUUGGUGACAACAAAAUGUUUGUGCGUGGUGUUGAUUAAAUUUUGUAUAUUUGUGUAUGACAAAGUAAUUCCAAGUGUCGUGUGUUUAAAACAGACAGUGUCAACAAUCAGCCAAGAUUGCUGGUAUGCAUAUGUGCUAUGAAAGGCCUGGUGUGGUCGCCUCCUUGAACGGAGGUGUUGGGUACGACAAGUGGGAG